rnacentral:rRNA from 1 species
AACGUAGGAGACAAACGUUAUCCGGAGUUACUGGGCGUAAAGGGCGUGUAGGUGGUUUCGUAAGUCUGGCGUGAAAUAUCUCGGCUCAACCGGGGAACUGCGUCCGAUACUGGCGGGCUUGAAUUCGGGAGAGGGAUGUGGAAUUCCAGGUGUAGCGGUGAAAUGCGUAGAUAUCUGGAGGAACACCGGUGGCGAAGGCGGCAUCCUGGACCGACAUUGACGCUGAGGCGCGAAAGCCAGGGGAGCAAACGGG